rnacentral:rRNA from 1 species
AGAGUUUGAUCCUGGCUCAGGAUGAACGCUAGCUACAGGCUUAACACAUGCAAGUCGAGGGGCAGCAUGGUCUUAGCUUGCUAAGGCCGAUGGCGACCGGCGCACGGGUGAGUAACACGUAUCCAACCUGCCGUCUACUCUUGGACAGCCUUCUGAAAGGAAGAUUAAUACAAGAUGGCAUCAUGAGUCCGCAUGUUCACAUGAUUAAAGGUAUUCCGGUAGACGAUGGGGAUGCGUUCCAUUAGAUAGUAGGCGGGGUAACGGCCCACCUAGUCUUCGAUGGAUAGGGGUUCUGAGAGGAAGGUCCCCCACAUUGGAACUGAGACACGGUCCAAACUCCUACGGGAGGCAGCAGUGAGGAAUAUUGGUCAAUGGGCGAGAGCCUGAACCAGCCAAGUAGCGUGAAGGAUGACUGCCCUAUGGGUUGUAAACUUCUUUUAUAAAGGAAUAAAGUCGGGUAUGGAUACCCGUUUGCAUGUACUUUAUGAAUAAGGAUCGGCUAACUCCGUGCCAGCAGCCGCGGUAAUACGGAGGAUCCGAGCGUUAUCCGGAUUUAUUGGGUUUAAAGGGAGCGUAGAUGGAUGUUUAAGUCAGUUGUGAAAGUUUGCGGCUCAACCGUAAAAUUGCAGUUGAUACUGGAUAUCUUGAGUGCAGUUGAGGCAGGCGGAAUUCGUGGUGUAGCGGUGAAAUGCUUAGAUAUCACGAAGAACUCCGAUUGCGAAGGCAGCCUGCUAAGCUGCAACUGACAUUGAGGCUCGAAAGUGUGGGUAUCAAACAGGAUUAGAUACCCUGGUAGUCCACACGGUAAACGAUGAAUACUCGCUGUUUGCGAUAUACGGCAAGCGGCCAAGCGAAAGCGUUAAGUAUUCCACCUGGGGAGUACGCCGGCAACGGUGAAACUCAAAGGAAUUGACGGGGGCCCGCACAAGCGGAGGAACAUGUGGUUUAAUUCGAUGAUACGCGAGGAACCUUACCCGGGCUUAAAUUGCAGAUGAAUUACGGUGAAAGCCGUAAGCCGCAAGGCAUCUGUGAAGGUGCUGCAUGGUUGUCGUCAGCUCGUGCCGUGAGGUGUCGGCUUAAGUGCCAUAACGAGCGCAACCCUUGUUGUCAGUUACUAACAGGUUCCGCUGAGGACUCUGACAAGACUGCCAUCGUAAGAUGUGAGGAAGGUGGGGAUGACGUCAAAUCAGCACGGCCCUUACGUCCGGGGCUACACACGUGUUACAAUGGGGGGUACAGAGGGCCGCUACCACGCGAGUGGAUGCCAAUCCCAAAACCUCUCUCAGUUCGGACUGGAGUCUGCAACCCGACUCCACGAAGCUGGAUUCGCUAGUAAUCGCGCAUCAGCCACGGCGCGGUGAAUACGUUCCCGGGCCUUGUACACACCGCCCGUCAAGCCAUGGGAGCCGGGGGUACCUGAAGUGCGUAACCGCGAGGAGCGCCCUAGGGUAAAACUGGUGACUGGGGCUAAGUCGUAACAAGGUAGCCGUACCGGAAGGUGCGGCUG